UAGAAAUAUUUGGGAACAAAAUUACUUUAAUUAAAAACAAAUUAAUUCAUUUUUUAUUGUCAAAAAACUUGGUAGAUUGUGAAAAGCUAUUGUGAUUUUUAUUUGUAUAAUAUAAAAAUAUUAUUAUGAGUCCCGUAGUAACUAAAAUGAAGAACCAAUCAGCAUCGUCUUGCUCAUUCUACUAGAAUUCUUUUCGCGGGUUUUUGCCGAGCGCCAUUACUAUGGGAUCCAUUGUCAACGAAUAAAAAUGUUGUAAAGUUAUGUAAAGUUAAUGGAUAAUCAGCAAAAUGAAGAACGAAAGGAACGAUAGAUGGAAGAGAAGACACCAAUUCUAGAUUAGAUUUGUUAUAGAUUUCGAAAGAGAAUUGAUGCUAAAUGCAGAGGUAUAAGUCAAUUAAUGAUAUUAUCCGAUAGAAAAAUGUAUUUCUUCGAUUGAAAAUAAAUUAAUUUUUGUUUGUUUA
rnacentral:lncRNA from 1 species